ensembl:lncRNA
UCUUGGCCGGAGGCUCUGGAGUGACCUCCUCUUGGUCCGCUCCGCCCCCUGCCUCCUCUCCUCCAAUGGUCUUCUUUUUCUUCUUCUUCUUCUUCUCUAGGCUGGGGGGCGUGGCCUCCUCCUGCUCCACCUCCUCGGCGACGGACUCCUCCUUCGCUCCGGCCUUCUUCCUCCUCUUCUUCGUCGGCGUGCUCUCCUCGUCCGGCUGGCUCUGCUUGAUUCUGGUUCAGACCGGUGAGAGCGAGGAGUCAGGAUUGCUUUGUCCGGUGGACAAGAGGCUAGCAGGACGCUGCGCAGUAGCCUGCUAAAACGACGGCUUUCAGCAGUCAGAAUGCUACGCUAACAUACAUCAUGAGGCUAUCCAUAGACAAGAGGUCAUCAGCCAGCAAAGGUUCAACAGCGUAGCAUUGGCUAUGUAGAACCAGUGGUUUUAGCAGGCUAAGCUACAUGAGUGUAGGGCCGCUAACCGCUAACUGCUAACCGCUAACUGCUAACCGAUAACUGCUAACCUUUUGCUCUUCCUGACGUUCGUGUCGUCCUGCUCCGGUGAGUCGGCCGGCUCAGCCGCGCUCUGAUUGGCUUUCCCCGCCUUGAGACGCCGGCUCCGCCUCCCGAAGCGCUUCCUCAGCGAGGUGGAGAUCAAGGCGUGGCGAGGGCGAGAGACACCUGGAGACAGACAGACAGACGAGAGCACAACAUUUCUUCAAUGCGCCUGCCUAUUCGACAGUGGUAUGGCCUUCAGUCAAUCUGCCUCCGAUUGAUCUAUAACCUGUCCGACCAGGUUCAUUGCUGCAGGUGUCCUCUACCUGUGUCAGUGCCGGUGGUGGAGGUGACGGCCUCAUCCUCCAGGCGAGC